CCCUACCCUACCCGCCGCCUCGGUAGCACGGCCGCUCCUUGGCUGGGGCUCUCGGCGGGGCUCGCAGGAGACUCCUAUCAUCAGGAAGCGCCGCUCCGCCCGGCACCGGUCAUAUCGGAUUAAUGCUGUGGAUCGGUCAACCCAGAACAUGUAGUUGCCCAUCAAUCGCUCAGUAGUCAGUGUAGAUUCUGUCUUUACAAUCAGCAGCUACAUCUGGCUACUGGGUCUCUGAUGACAUCUCCUAUCUUCUAUCUAGACUUUUUGUUGGAUUUUUGUCUUCUCUCCUGGGUGCAGAGCAAGUUCACAGAGUUAACAAGUUAAUGCCUGAGGUGUGGCCCCAAAUAAAAGAUGGGAUAUCUGUUGGAUCUACCUCACUGUGAGAACUGGAUUAAAUACAGAUGGAUGUUGUGUUGGAAACCAACAGUCUUUUCUAUAGCCUAAUGCUGGGGCUUGUUAUAGUCCAAAUUGAUGAGACUAUUUGCAGACUUGAGCUAAGAAGACAGCUGGACUUCACUCUUUUUCAAUGAAGAAUCUUUAACCUCUCCUGAAAAGGAUAGGUGUUGAAACAGGCACUUUGGCUUAUUGUGUAACUGCCUCUCAUUAGGAGAGGAAAUGCACUGGGAUGUGCACAAAUGUACUGUGAUGUGCACAGGUGGUUCUCGUUUUCGUUUUUUUUUCCCCUCUUGUCAGUUGUAUGAGAAGACUGUCCAGGUUUGGGGCAUGAACCUGGCAUACAAUGUAGAUUUCUGUGUUUGUUAAGCAACAGCUACAUUGUCUGCUGGGUUUCCAGCUGCCUGGAAAUACGAAGUGGAGGGUUAUCUACGCACUUUUUGGGUUUUUCGGUUUGUUUGUUGUUUUUUUUUUUCCCUUUGGUCAAGUUACCUCCCUUACAUCUCUGAAGAAGACAAUGCAGUAGACAUCCAAUUGCUGCCUUCCCCAGUGAUCCAGCCAAUGUCAACUAGAGCUCAGAGCCAGGGUAGGUCUGAAACUAGUUAAGAAAAAAAAGUUCAAGGGAUUGAAGUGUUCAGCCACCUGAGUGUGAGUAGCUGUCAGGCAGCAGUUAAUGACUGCUGUCUGUGUAACCAUUAGUUUGCCUUUUAGUUCAGAUGGAGAGCUAAGUGUGUGUGCUGUACAGUUAGGGAAAUUCUUUUUGGAGAAGAAAGUGAGGAGCUAUUUAUAGGUAUGAUUUUUUUUUUAAUGUGCUACACAUAGUAUGGCUUAUAUACAGGAAGUGAUUAGAAAUAACGGGAGGAGUAAGAUAAUGGCUUGAGUGCUGAUACCAGCUGGAUCUCUUGUUUCUUGAGCAGCACUAAAACCUGUGGGCUUCAUUUGUGCACCAUAUCCAGCCAUACAGCAAUGAAGCAGGCAGCUUCAGUUUGAGAAGAUUAGGCCUGGAAUAGCUGGGGAGUGUUGUCCUUUCAGAUCUGGACUGCAAUCACAGUAUUAAAGGGGGAAGCUUGUACAGUGAUGUCUGUAUGGUAACCCUUCAUUGGCAAGCUCUGUUCCAUUUGUACUACACCAUGGAAAUUGGGAGAGUAGUGAUAACCUCUCAGAAUGAAGCAGUGUGUGAUUUGGCUAAGCUUGUCUGUCAUUCUGGGCUAUACAUGGGUGGUUUUAGAUCAGCAGGCAUCCAGAACUCUUCAAGGGCAACACUUCAGAAGGCAUAAGUGUUCCUAAUUGAAUGCUGCUGUUUAAAAACUGUGCUUUUGUUAAAACAAAUAAAACUUCUUGUGCAGAGAA